AGUGAACGCUGGCGGUAUGCCUAACACAUGCAAGUCGAACGGCAGCACAGUAAGAGCUUGCUCUUACGGGUGGCGAGUGGCGGACGGGUGAGGAAUACAUCGGAAUCUACUUUUUCGGGGGGGAUAACGUAGGGAAACUUACGCUAAUACCGCAUACGACGUACGGGUGAAAGCAGGGGAUCUUGGGGCCUUUCGCGAUAGAAUGAGCCGAAGCCGGAUUAGCUAGUUGGGGGGGUAAAGGCCCACCAAGGCAACGAUCCGUAGCUGGGCUGAGAGGAUGAUCAGCCACACUGGAACUGAGACACGGUCCAGACUCCUACGGGAGGCAGCAGUGGGGAAUAUUGGACAAUGGGCGCAAGCCUGAUCCAGCCAUACCGCGUGGGUGAAGAAGGCCUUCGGGUUGUAAAGCCCUUUUGUUGGGAAAGAAAAGCAGCAGGUUAAUCCCCCGCUGUUCUGACGGUACCCAAAGAAUAAGCACCGGCUAACUUCGUG
rnacentral:rRNA from 1 species